rnacentral:rRNA from 1 species
GUGGGGAUAUUGCACAAUGGGGGAAACCCUGAUGCAGCCAUGCCGCGUGUGUGAAGAAGGCCUUCGGGUUGUAAAGCACUUUCAGUAGGGAGGAAAGGUAGCAGCUUAAUACGCUGUUGCUGUGACGUUACCUACAGAAGAAGGACCGGCUAACUCCGUGCCAGCAGCCGCGGUAAUACGGAGGGUCCGAGCGUUAAUCGGAAUUACUGGGCGUAAAGCGUGCGCAGGCGGUUUGUUAAGCGAGAUGUGAAAGCCCCGGGCUCAACCUGGGAAUUGCAUUUCGAACUGGCGAACUAGAGUCUUGUAGAGGGGGGUAGAAUUCCAGGUGUAGCGGUGAAAUGCGUAGAGAUCUGGAGGAAUACCGGUGGCGAAGGCGGCCCCCUGGACAAAGACUGACGCUCAGGCACGAAAGCGUGGGGAGCAAACAGGAUUAGAUACCCUGGUAGUCCACGCCGUAAACGAUGUCUACUCGGAGUUUGGUGUCUUGAACACUGGGCUCUCAAGCUAACGCAUUAAGUAGACCGCCUGGGGAGUACGGCCGCAAGGUUAAAACUCAAAUGAAUUGACGGGGCCCCC